ensembl:lncRNA
UUGGUCUCCUGAGUUUUAACCUUUAUGCUGAAGUUAGUGACUUACAAUCUAACCAGUUUUCUUUUUGACAGUUUAGCAGAUCACCUGUGUUUUCAUUAAGUUAAGCUAUCAGUAAUAAGAAUGAAAUGAACCCACAUAGACUUGUUUUCUGAAGUGUUUUGUAAAAUAUUUUCCAAAGGCAGUAUUUGCUGUCAAAAAAUAAGUUGCACAAAGAAAAGUGAUGUUUUCUGUGGUUUUUGAAGAGGGAGUUGGACAGACUUUCAUGUGUUGUAAUAUUUUUAUGCAUUUGAUGAUGCCUGAUAAGGUUGAAGUUUUAUAAAAUAUCCUUUCUUAAUAUAAAGAUGGUAAUUUGAGGGAAAUACUGUAAUGAUUUGCGUGCUGUAGUUUUUGAGUAGGAACUUCAGAAAUACACGUGGGGUGUAAGAAAGGGGAAGGCAAUUCCAGGCCUUAUGGGAUGGUGUCCUGCAGGUUUUAGAUGUGUCCUUGUGUCCAUCACAGCUGAUAUCAAUGGCUAAAUUACCUCCUCAACAUGUCUUGAAGUUCACCUAAGGCUCGGUAAUAAACUAAUCAUUUGAUUCAGGUGUGUUGACCCAGGGUCAUAUCUAAAAUCUGCAGAGCACUGGCCCUUGAGGCCUGGAGUAGCCCACACCUGGUGUAAGACGCAAAGAGGUUUGUCUAUAUCAAUAUACAGAGACUACAUGAAGGUAAAAUGUUUCACUGUGAUAUCAGAAGUGUAUCUAGCAGAAAUGUAUAAAUCAGUUAAUGUAAUGUUGUUUUCUUUCUUUCAGAAUGGCGUUGAUGCAACUAAUUAGUAACCGUCCAGAGACACCGUACUUCCGGCCACCACCCUUGCAUGUCUGUGUGUUAAGAAUUUGUGAACAGCCAAGGGUGAUUACUUGGGAUGUAAAGGAGGGAGUGGCAACAUCUGUCACUAAAAAGUAUAAUAAAGUGGCAGCCAUUUCUGAUGGCAACACAGUUGUUAAGGUGACUUUUUAUGAGGAGUUUGUGUCAAAAGUGCAGCAGGGCUUUUCGUACAUUAUGAAAGGGCAUGAGCUAAGAGGGACAGCUCCCCCUUAUGCUAUUCCUAUUAGUGCUUUGACACAAUUCUUCAAGUCGUCUGCACUUUCUGUGGCACAAGAGCUUUUUUCCAAAGCAGAGGAGCUUUUGCAUCCCCCGGCUCCUUUGAUCGACCUGAAAAUGAGCUCCACAAAUGUGGGGCUUAUAACAGUAGAGGGGGAGGUUGUGGAGUGUUUGGCCACCAGGAAAGUGCUGUCAGGGAAACAAGGAGUUCCCAUCAAAAAUUUGCAGCUAAAACAGGAUGGUUGUACCAUGAGAGUGUGUUUGUGGAGGGAGGCGGCCAUUCAUCAGCUUCACGUGGGAGACCACAUAAAGGUGUCCCAUGUUAAGGUGAAGCAGUCAGCUUUUGGAUUAGAGCUGCACAGUACGGUAUUUACAAAGAUUGAGACAACUGAAGAGGAACGUGCACAAGUAAAUGUCAUCGGCGUUACCACCACCAACAGCUCCAACCAGCUAGAGGUACUCUUGGAGGGUGGAGAGAGCCUGUAUAUUGAAGCAGAGAUGUGGCAGCCAUUUGACAAAGACCUGGAAAAGGCCAUGGUCUGUGUCAACAUAAAAGUGAAAGGAAAGCAUAUUUCAGAGAUGAAACAAAACUCAGCGUGAAUAAUUUGUUUGUGGUAUAGAAAAUGUUCAUUAUGUAAAAAGUUAAAAGGUUUCAAAUGUUAGUGUUCAUAUGUCAAAAAAGUUGUAAUAAAGAGUUGAAA